CCUUUAAAUCUUUCAUAAAUCCUACACCGAAAAUAUAAUAAAAGGCAGAAGAAAAACUCGAUGGUGUGGGAUAAUAUAUAUAGAGAUAACAAUAAUUGAUCAUCACUACCAAAAAAAAAAAAAAAAAGAAAAGAAAUUUGGGUGAUUUGUAGUUUAGUUGUUGGUGGUUUCCUUGAUCAACAGCUGCCAACUUUUUUUUUGUCUCCAAUUUGUGUUUGUGUUCCCAUCUUACCCCUCCCCUGUUUCUUCUGCCCAGUUUCCGUCCUCGAUGGACUUAGACAAACCCUAAUCCCAACUGAAAUAACCGUUCAUGGAAGAAUCCGAAUUGCUGGCUUUCUACUUUGUACUUUACUCGAUCUGAAAAAAAUCACAUUUUUUUUGAUGCCGGGUUGAUUUUGGAAAUCCCCAAGCAACCACUCCCUCAACUGCUUCAACAAUUUUGACACUGUUCUUGUGAUUUUUUGAUGGCCGGAAGCUGGGAUGGAGGUAAUGACCUGGCAAGCCAGUCAGAUGAUAGCUACCAUUUUGACAGACUACAUAUAGAGCCCAUCUAUGAUGCAUUCCUAUGCCCUUUGACAAAACAGGUAAUGCGGGAUCCUGUAACACUGGAGAAUGGGCAAACUUUUGAGAGAGAAGCCAUUGAAAAAUGGUUCAAACAAUGUAAAGAGUCUGGAAGAAGGCUAGUUUGCCCAUUAACUCAAAGAGAGUUACGGAGCACAGAACUGAAUCCAAGUAUAGCCUUGCGGAACACAAUUGAAGAAUGGAAUGCUAGGAAUGAAGCUGUUCAACUUGAUAUGGCUCGGAGAUCAUUGACUUCGGGCAGCUCAGAGCAAGAUAUUUUGCAGGCUUUGAAGUUUAUCCAAUAUAUAUGUCAACAAAGCCGAUCAAAUAAGCAUGUAAUCCGUAAUGAAGAGAUGAUACCUAUGAUUAUUGAUAUGUUAAAGAGUAGCUUUCGAAGAACUCGGUUGAAAGCUUUGGAAACUCUUCGAAUUGUGGUUGAAGAAGAUUCUGACAAUAAGGAAAUAAUGGCUCAAGGGGACACUGUACGCACAGUUGUGAAGUUAUUGUCUAAUGAACAAUCAAAAGAAAGAGAAGAAGCGGUUCUUCUGCUAUAUGAGCUCUCCAAAUCUGAAGCUUUAUGUGAAAAGAUUGGUUCAGUUAAUGGAGCAAUUCUCAUUUUAGUAGGAAUGGCAAGCAGCACGUCGGAGAACAUUGUGGCUGUUGAGAUGGCGGAUAAAACUCUGGAGAAUCUGGGAAAAUCUGAGAAUAAUGUCAGACAAAUGGCUGAAAAUGGUAGAUUGCAGCCUUUACUGAGACUACUGCUUGAAGGAUCUUCAGAAACCAAACUAUCUAUGGCUGAAUUUCUUGGUGACUUGGUUCUUAACAAUGAUGUGAAAGUCUUGGUGGCUAGAACAGUUGGGUUAUCACUGAUCAACAUCUUGAAGAGUGGUAAUAUCCAAUCAAGAGAGGCUGCCUUGAAAGCUCUAAAUCAAAUGUCAUCACACGAUGCAAGUGCCAGAAUCUUAAUAGAGGCUGGUAUACUUCCCCCCCUGGUCAAGGAUCUCUUCACUGUUGGUGCCCACCAACUGCCCAUGCGACUGAAGGAAGUAUCUGCAACAAUCCUUGCUAAUGUUGUGAGUUCAGGAUAUGACUUUGACUCUGUUCCCGUUGGACCUGAACAACAAACUCUGGUUUCAGAGGACAUCAUUCAUAAUCUCCUCCAUCUUAUAAGCAACACUGGCCCUGCCAUAGAGUGUAAGCUUCUUCAGGUGCUUGUUGGGCUGACUAACUCUCCGAUUACUAUUUCUAGUGUUGUUUCUGCAAUUAAAAGCUCUGGUGCCACAAUAAGUUUGGUACAGUUUAUUGAAGCUCCACAAAAAGAUUUAAGACUGGCUUCCAUAAAACUUCUCCAGAACCUUUCUCCAUAUAUGGGUCCAGAACUAGCUAGUUGCUUACGUGGAACAUCUGGCCAGCUUGGUAGCCUAAUCAAAAUCAUAUCAGAAAAUAUUGGUAUAACUGAGGAACAAGCUGCUGCUGUUGGGCUUUUAGCUGAUCUUCCUGAAAGGGAUAUGGGUCUUACACGGCAGAUGCUAGAUGAAGGUGCAUUCCAGCUGGUUAACUCAAGAAUUCUUAGGAUCCGGCAGAGGGAGACUAGAGGUAGUCGCUUUAUGACUCCUUACCUAGAAGGUCUGGUUAAGGUUUUGUCAAGGGUCACGUUUGCCUUGGCUGAUGAGCUGGAUGCCAUUGCCCUUUGUCGGAACCACAAUCUUGCAGCUGUCUUCAUAGAACUUUUACAGACCAAUGGGCUUGACAAUGUUCAGAUGGUUUCUGCAUUGGCUUUGGAAAACUUAUCUCAAGAAUCAAAAAACUUGACCAAAUUGCCCGAAUUGCCAAGUCCUGGGUUUUGUGUCUCGAUUUUCCCCUGUUUAGGCAAGCCGACUAUCAUAACUGGAUUGUGUACAGUACACAGGGGAACAUGUUCGCUCAAAGAAACCUUUUGUCUCCUGGAAGGACAAGCUGUGGGGAAGCUAGUUGCCCUCCUAGACCACACCAAUGAAAAGGUGGUUGAGGCUUCUCUUGCAGCAUUGUGCACCUUGUUGGAUGAUGGGGUUGACAUUGAACAAGGGGUUCAUGUAUUGUGCGAGGCAGAAGGGAUCAGGCCUAUACUUGAUGUGUUACUGGAGAAACGGACAGAGAACCUGAGGAGGAGGGCUGUUUGGGCAGUUGAGCGAAUUUUGCGCUCUGAUGAUAUAGCCUAUGAAAUUUCUGGUGACCCUAAUGUAAGUACUGCACUUGUGGAUGCUUUCCAGCAUGGUGAUUAUCGGACACGCCAGAUUGCCGAGCGAGCCCUGAAGCACGUGGAUAAGAUUCCAAACUUCUCUGGUGUCUUUCCAAAUGUAGGAUAAACACACAUGUAGGUUUGGCUGAUGAUUGUCAGGGAUUUGGCAUGCAUGUUGUCGUAGAGUUUUUCUUUAAGCAUCAUAGAAUGCAGAUUUUAGUCUUCAAAUGGACAAUAUAUUUGUACUUAUAUAGAAGUUGGAAUGUAAGAUUAUUUUUUGUAUGAUUGUCGUUCAAUAAAGAAUUAUUGUUGAGGGGAAGACCUCCGUUCCUUUUUUGUGUUAAUCUGCUGAUCUCAGGGACCUCUUGUGGACAAAUGGCUUUCGUUUGGAUCCUGCAUCAUUUAGUUCAUGCUAAGGGGGGUUACCACAUAUCUGAUACCAUACAUAGCAGUUAAAGAUUUGCAAGAUCGGACUGAGGCCUAUGAUCUGCCUUGACCGGAAGGACACACCUCAUCUCGCGUAGGUCUAGGAUGCUGUCAAUUGAAACAGGGCUAGAUAUCAAAAUUUUGUGUUGGGGACUUGCUGAGCCAUUGCAAUGUCUUUUGCUUAUUAGAACAUUAAAUUGAUACGUUAUGCUUCUCAUUUCAAUAAGAAAAGUUGUUUUUGCACCUUA